rnacentral:sRNA from 1 species
AAACUACAAGGGGAGCCGAAGCUCCCCAAGAAAGUAGUUGCGUGCUCUUUUUUAUUAUUGAUUCGGGCUUCUUGUUUUUGUUGAGUGCCCUCGCCAUGAAGCUUUUCCUUCAUGACCCUCCCAAUCGGGAGCCAAGAGCAAACGGAUUGCUUUGGUCGCUGAAUUGCAGUGAUCUCUCGAUCCAACCAGUACAGGCUCUGUCUUAGGACAGUU